rnacentral:rRNA from 1 species
GACGAACGCUGGCGGCGUGCUUAACACAUGCAAGUCGAACGGAAAGGCCCUGCUUUUGUGGGGUGCUCGAGUGGCGAACGGGUGAGUAACACGUGAGUAACCUGCCCUUGACUUUGGGAUAACUUCAGGAAACUGGGGCUAAUACCGGAUAGGAGCUCCUGCUGCAUGGUGGGGGUUGGAAAGUUUCGGCGGUUGGGGAUGGACUCGCGGCUUAUCAGCUUGUUGGUGGGGUAGUGGCUUACCAAGGCUUUGACGGGUAGCCGGCCUGAGAGGGUGACCGGCACAAUUGGAACGGAGAUCCGGCCCAGACUCCUAGGGGAGGCAGGAGGGGGGAAUAUGGAACAAGGGGGGAAGGCUUGAUGAAGCAAGCCGGGGUGCGGGGAGACGGCGUUCGGGUUGAAAACCGCUUUGCCCUGUGAGGAAGGGGGGGUGAGGGUAAUGGGAAAAAAAGCACCGGCUAACUAAGU